rnacentral:rRNA from 1 species
AGGAUGAACGCUGGCGGCGUGCCUAAUACAUGCAAGUCGAGCGAACAGAUGAGAAGCUUGCUUCUCUGAUGUUAGCGGCGGACGGGUGAGUAACACGUGGGUAACCUACCUAUAAGACUGGGAUAACUCCGGGAAACCGGGGCUAAUACCGGAUAACAUAUUGAACCGCAUGGUUCAAUGUUGAAAGACGGUUUCGGCUGUCACUUAUAGAUGGACCCGCGCCGUAUUAGCUAGUUGGUAAGGUAACGGCUUACCAAGGCAACGAUACGUAGCCGACCUGAGAGGGUGAUCGGCCACACUGGAACUGAGACACGGUCCAGACUCCUACGGGAGGCAGCAGUAGGGAAUCUUCCGCAAUGGGCGAAAGCCUGACGGAGCAACGCCGCGUGAGUGAUGAAGGUCUUAGGAUCGUAAAACUCUGUUGUUAGGGAAGGACAAAUUUGUUAGUAACUGAACAAGUCUUGACGGUACCUAACCAGAAAGCCACGGCUAACUACGUGCCAGCAGCCGCGGCAAUACGUAGGUGGCAAGCGUUAUCCGGAAUUAUUGGGCGUAAAGCGCGCGUAGGCGGUUUCUUAAGUCUGAUGUGAAAGCCCACGGCUCAACCGUGGAGGGUCAUUGGAAACUGGGGAACUUGAGUGCAGAAGAGGAGAGUGGAAUUCCAUGUGUAGCGGUGAAAUGCGCAGAGAUAUGGAGGAAGACCAGUGGCGAAGGCGGCUCUCUGGUCUGUAACUGACGCUGAUGUGCGANAGCGUGNGGAUCAAACAGGAUUAGAUACCCUGGUAGUCCACGCCGUANACGAUGAGUGCUAAGUGUUAGGGGGUUUCCGCCCCUUAGUGCUGCAGCUAACGCAUUAAGCACUCCCGCCUGGGGAGUACGACCCCAAGGUUGAACUCAAAGGAAUUGACGGGGACCCGCACAAGCGGUGGAGCAUGUGGUUAAUUCGAAGCAACGCGAAGAACCUUACCAAAUCUUGACAUCCUUUGAUCGCUCUAGAGAUAGAGUUUUCCCCUUCGGGGGACAAAGUGACAGGUGGUGCAUGGUUGUCGUCAGCUCGUGUCGUGAGAUGUUGGGUUAAGUCCCGCAACGAGCGCAACCCUUAAGCUUAGUUGCCAUCAUUAAGUUGGGCACUCUAGGUUGACUGCCGGUGACAAACCGGAGGAAGGUGGGGAUGACGUCAAAUCAUCAUGCCCCUUAUGAUUUGGGCUACACACGUGCUACAAUGGAUAAUACAAAGGGCAGCGAACCCGCGAGGUCAAGCAAAUCCCAUAAAAUUAUUCUCAGUUCGGAUUGUAGUCUGCAACUCGACUACAUGAAGCUGGAAUCGCUAGUAAUCGUAGAUCAGCAUGCUACGGUGAAUACGUUCCCGGGUCUUGUACACACCGCCCGUCACACCACGAGAGUUUGUAACACCCGAAGCCGGUGGAGUAACAUUUUAUUAGGAGCUAGCCGUCGAAGGUGGGACAG